AGUUUUGUUAAUCCCUGCAUUGUAGAUAAAUAAGUUGUUUUUUUGUAUAACCAAAUUGUAGAUAAAUAAGUUACAUUGACCAAAUACAUCGGAUUAGAUUUUCAAGUAAAUUACGCUAAGAAAGAACUUUUCAUAAUACGAAAAUGAGAUAUUUAAAAUCUAAUCAAAUUACGUGUCUACCAUUAAUGAUGAGUACAAUGAAGAAAACCAAAAAAAGAAGAAGAUAGAGUACAAUGGUAGACUCGAACUUAUUAGUGACCUUUCUUCUUCUAACUUACUAUAAAACCAAGAUAAUUAUUAUAUUUUUAUUUAAUUUGGAAUCUCUAGGUGCUACAUUGAAGAUGAGAACAAUGGUAGUAGACUCAAUCUAUGGUGACCUUUCUUCUUCUACCUUCUAAUAAACCCAAAAAUUUUGUUGCAUUUAAAUCGAAAUCUAAUUUAAAUUCUUCUACCUUCUAAUAAGCACAAAGACCAAUGAACAAAUUUGUUGAAAAAACUAAGAGAAAUGUAGAUUGAUUUUACCUCUUUUUAGUUGGAACACAAUGGAUUUGGAUCUGGAAAUGGGAAUUGAUUCGUAAUGAGUCUAGCUAGAGAGAUACGCUCAUUCCCGGAUUUCUUGGAAUUCUAAAACCGAAAUUGUUUUAACUUUUCUUGUUUUUCAGAAAAAGAAAAUGGAGGAUUAAUUAAAAAUGAAAAAUUGAGGAAUUGUGAAUGGGAAAGAAGAAGGAUUUGAAGAGUAAACGACUAUAAACUAUUGGAUGAGUUUAAGAGGAAACACUUGUGCUGAGGAGAUAAGCCAAGCCACAUUAUGUUUUGUUCUUAUAUGGGCAAAGCUAUAUAUAUAGCCCACAAGUUAAAGCUGUGUUUGGC
rnacentral:lncRNA from 1 species